rnacentral:rRNA from 1 species
GAUGAACGCUAGCGGCAGGCCUAAUACAUGCAAGUCGAGGGGCAGCAGGGAUAGCAAUAUUCGCUGGCGACCGGCGCACGGGUGCGUAACACGUAUACAAUCUGCCUUUAACAGGGGGAU